UGAUUUCGACUCAUUAGAUUAUGAUAACCNUACUAACCAA
rnacentral:tRNA from 1 species